AUGCUCAACAACGCCGGCAUCGUGGGCUCGCUGGCGCGUCCCCGGCUGAGCGAUCUGGACCUCGCCGACUUCGACGCCGUCAAGGCGAUCAACGCCCGGGGCGUGCUGGCCGGGGUCAAGCACGCGGCCCGCGUCGUGGCGCCGCGCCGCAGCGGCAGCAUCAUUUGCAUGGCCAGCGUCGCCGGCGUGCUGGGCAGCGUGACGCCGCACCCGUACAGCGUGUCCAAGGCGGCGGUGCUGGGGAUCGUGCGCGCCGCGGCCGGGGAGAUGGCGCGCUCCGGCGUGCGCGUCAACGCCGUCUCGCCCAACUACAUCCCGACGCCGCUGGUGAUGCGCAUCCUGGAGCAGUGGUACCCGAAGGCCAGCGCGGAGGAGCACCGGCGUAUCGUGGAGGGGGACAUCAACGAGAUGGAGGGCGCGGUGCUGGAGCCGGACGACAUCGCGAGGGCGGCGCUGUACCUGGCGUCCGACGAGGUCAAGUAA
rnacentral:rRNA from 1 species